rnacentral:snRNA from 1 species
GCAACACAUAUACUAGUAAUACAAUUGGAAUGAUACAAGGAAGAUUAGCAUGGCCCCUGUGCAAGGAUGACAUGAAAAUUCAUGAAACAUUCUAUAUUUAA